CCCUUUCAUUGGGCGAAUAAUUCGCGAAUCGCGAAUAAUUUGCGAAUAAAUAUUUUUUUCCAAAAAAACGCAUUUUUUUCCGAAUUUUUCGAAAAAAUACGAAUUCGGCAGUUUAAUUCUUUUUCUUAAAAAUUCGCGAAUAAUUCGUGAAUUAACUAACACAGUUAAUAAGUAGAAGGAAUUUUUUUUAAUAAAGUUUAAUUUGGGAAGAAACAAAAGGUUUCUAUAUAAUUUUUUAAAAUAUAAGAAACAUUUC
rnacentral:lncRNA from 1 species